AGUGCAGUGAAUAGAAGACACUUCUCUGCACCCCAAAAGCUCCAUGCUGAUUGCGAGAAGGAAAUGCUGGAUGGAGGGGUUCCUGGAACU
rnacentral:lncRNA from 1 species